CACGUAGGGUGCGAGCGUUGUCCGGAAUUAUUGGGCGUAAAGAGCUCGUAGGCGGUGUGUCGCGUCGGCCGUGAAAACUUGCAGCUUAACUGUGGGCGUGCGGUCGAUACGGGCAUCACUGGAGUUCGGCAGGGGAGACUGGAAUCCUGGUGUAGCGGUGAAAUGCGCAGAUAUCAGGAGGAACACCGGUGGCGAAGGCGGGUCUCUGGGCAACAACUGACGCUGGAGGAGCGAAAGCGUGGGGAGCGAACAGG
rnacentral:rRNA from 1 species